GACGAACGCUGGCGGCGUGCUUAACACAUGCAAGUCGAGCGGUAAGGCCCUUUCGGGGGUACACGAGCGGCGAACGGGUGAGUAACACGUGGGUGACCUGCCCUCAGCUCUGGGAUAAGCCUGGGAAACCGGGUCUAAUACUGGAUAUGACUCCAUGACGCAUGUUGUGGGGUGGAAAGCCUUGUGCGGCUGAGGAUGGGCCCGCGGCCUAUCAGCUCGUUGGUGGGGUGAUGGCCUACCAAGGCGACGACGGGUAGCCGGCCUGAGAGGGCGACGGCCACACUGGGACUGAGACACGGCCCAGACUCCUACGGGAGGCAGCAGUGGGGAAUCUUGCGCAAUGGGCGAAAGCCUGACGCAGCGACGCCGCGUGAGGGAUGACGGCCU
rnacentral:rRNA from 1 species